GUGGGGAAUAUUGGACAAUGGGCGAAAGCCUGAUCCAGCCAUGCCGCGUGUGUGAAGAAGGUCUUCGGAUUGUAAAGCACUUUAAGUUGGGAGGAAGGGCAGUAAGUUAAUACCUUGCUGUUUUGACGUUACCAACAGAAUAAGCACCGGCUAACUUCGUGCCAGCAGCCGCGGUAAUACGAAGGGUGCAAGCGUUAAUCGGAAUUACUGGGCGUAAAGCGCGCGUAGGUGGUUCAGCAAGUUGAAGGUGAAAUCCCCGGGCUCAACCUGGGAACUGCCUCAAAAACUACUGAGCUAGAGUACGGUAGAGGGUAGUGGAAUUUCCUGUGUAGCGGUGAAAUGCGUAGAUAUAGGAAGGAACACCAGUGGCGAAGGCGACUACCUGGACUGAUACUGACACUGAGGUGCGAAAGCGUGGGGAGCAAACAGGAUUAGAUACCCUAGUAGUCC
rnacentral:rRNA from 1 species